GCCAAAGAAAAAGUUUUCCCUCACUAACCUAAUUGCUUCUUUAGUUUAUCAUUCUUUUAGUAAUUGUUGAUUUUCUAUUUUUUUGUGUUGCAUAUUUGUAGGCUAACUGCAAAAGCCCUUUUAAUGAGUUUGUACACAUUUGGUUAUUUUAGUUUUAUAUCUUUUCAGAUCAUAUAUCAUUAUUGUUUUUUUCUUUUAACAUAGGUUCACCAUAAGUGUUCAUCUUUUAAGUUCACCAAAAUGUAGGCCUAUAUAUCAUUAAAGAAUACAUGUUUUUGGUUGAUCUUAUUCAGUAUAAACCUUAGAGUUUUAAAAAUUAUUCAAUAUGUUAUUGAUUUAUUUUGUGAAUUGCUAAUUAUUAUUUUUUUGUUUUCAUUAGUUGUCUUUGUAGGUAAUGUUUUUACAAUGUAAUUGGUACAAAUUUUGUUACUUUAAACAAACAACAGUCAAUAUAAAGUUACAAAAUAUAUAAAUAAAACAAAUGUAGUUGAAGCCUAAAAGAAGUGGUAGAAAAUAUGAUAGACUUAUGAAUACCAUCAGGCAUAAAAUCAACACAGGUCAUUCUUCCACUAUGACCUACAAAAAUGUUAAAAAUCUCUCUUGCAGUAUCGCAUGUGAGCCCGACAAUCUCCUAAGCCACCUAAUAUUACAUGACUUGUUGAGUGCCAACUUAACACUGAGAGACGGCCAUGAUUAGUGUUCAAAAAAAUAAAAGGAAUAAUUUGAUCACUAAAAAAAUCAAAUAGUUUCACCUCAAUGUCCCCGCCAAUAAGCCAAAUUUUCCCUUUUAAUUCAUAAAUUGCAGAGUUCCAGUGGAAGACAUACCCGUUAAACCCACCAUGAGCAAGUAGAGAUCCGUCUUUAUUAAAAGCCAAAGCAGAAACUCCAAUCAGUUGACUGAAGAGAAAUAACAAGAGUUCAAAUGAAAUAAUGUGUUAUUAUUUUCAAUUCUAGAAGAACACAAAUAUGAAAUUAAUAAGAAAAAUUUACAUCUAAUAAUCAUAAAAAAUAGAAGAGUAAACAAUUCAAGCCAAAGCAUUAUGCAAUUAAUAUUUUUUUUAUGUACUACAUACCAAGAAAGGUAUGACCGAAUUUUCCUUCAUUAAUCCUCCAAAGACAAGCUGUUUUAUCUUCACAUCUUGCAUAAUUGUUUGUGCAUUACAACAUGUUUUAAAAUCUUGAUGGAUUUUGUAAUCUAAAAUCCUGACAAAAUUUCUAAUGAAAGAUAUAUAGUGCCUCAUUGCCCUUGAGAUAAAUUUUUCUUGUGCAUUAAACAAGUUCACUUUAACCAACCUCAAGUGUUUAUCUUUUAAGAUCACCAAAAUGUAGACCUAUAGACUAUUAAAGAAUACAUGCUUUUGGGUGAUCUUAUUCAGCAUAAAGCAUAGACCAAUUAAUGCUUAUAUUGAUUUAUUUUGUGAAUUAGUGAUUGUUUGUUGAUUUUCAUCAAUUGUCUUUUUAUUAUAAUGUUUCUGUAAUGGAACGUCGUGAUGUAUAUUAUCACAUAGAUAUGUUUGGGUUGUCGGAGUCAUGGUUCAGUCAUGCAGAGAGGCGUACAUGAGGGUCGUGAGGUGGCUGUGAAGAAAUUUCCAAAAAAAAAAUUAAUUGAAACAUGUAAAAUCUUCACAUUAUGAAGAAAAUAAACUAUGACUACAUUAUUCAUUACUUUAGUAUGAAAAUAAAGAAAUGGAAUAGUUUAGUUUAUGCAAAUUCGAAUAAAUUAUCAUGUGUGAGCCACGUAUAAGGGAAUUUUCACGUGUGGUUCUAGUAGAGAAAAGGAGUUUGUUAGUAUUCAUGGAGCGCUACAUCUGCAGCUUUGCAAAUUAUUUGGCUUUUAUAUCCAAACAAACUGAAGUAGUCCAUACUGUUCAAGAGGUUUAAAGACUAUGACUUCUCUGUUGAAUAAAGAAGACUAAUAAACUAAGUAUAAUAUAAUUUUUUUUAGAGUUGUUACAAGACUAUAGCUUUAAAUAAAUUAAUUAUCAAUUGGCAUGAUUGUGUAGGAUAUGAUCGAUGGGAUUUAUGUAAUACAUGAUGAAAAGUGUGUAUCUCAUAUCCAAUAAUAUACUACUUGCGCCUAAAGAAAUGUGGCGUGGGAGGUGGUAAGCAAUUUGUACUAUUAGAGUUUCUUAGUUAUAAAUGCAUUAUGUGGCAACUUACUUUUUGUUCUUUAUUGUAGCACAUGAGGUUCGCAAUCAACUGAAUUUGAUCUUAGGCCAAUAAUAGAGAUAUUUAUAGUCUUGUUUGGUUAAAUUUCAAAUUUUACUACAUUUCUGGUGGCCAACAUUCCUAUGAAGGUAAUAAUGACUCUGAGCAGUAGAGAAACAUUUUGAGAGACAAUAACAAAAACUAUUCUUUGCCGCCAAAGACUUUCAAAGAUGCGAGGAAGCUCAUAUCUUUAAAAGUAAUGAGUCUUGUUGCGCUUAUAUUGCAUAAAGAUCUAAAGAAAAGGUUUACCGUUACUCACCUAAUUGUUUGUUUAGUUUAUAAUUCUUUUAGUAAUCUUGAUUUUCUACUUUUGUGUGUUACAUAUUAUAUGCCAACUACAAAAACCUUUUUAGUGAGUUCAUUCAUGUUUGAUUGUUUCAGUUUAACAUCAUUAAUUUACUUUGUGAAUUACUGAUUGUUUGUUGAUUUUCAUCAAUUGUCUUUAUAGUAUAGUGUUUCUGUAACGAAACAUCAUGACAUAGACUAUCUUUGGGUUAUGUUUAGGUUGUAGGAGUUAUGACUCAAUCAUGUAGAGAGGCAUACACGAGGGUUACAAGGCGGUUGAAAAAAUUUUUAGAAAAAAAAAAUCGACUGCCACUAGACUUUACAAAAAGCGAGGAUGCUUAUAUCUCCAGAAGCAAUGAUUCUUGUUGUGCUUAUGUUGCAUAAAGAUUCAAAGAAAACGUUUUCCUCACUAACCCACCUAUUUUUUUUAGUUUAUAAUUCUUUUAAUAAUUCUUGGUUUUUAUUUUUGUGUGUUGUAUAUUUAUAAGCCAACUAUAGAAGCCCUUUUAGUAAGUUUGUCCAUAUUUGGUUGUUUCAAUUUAACAUCUUUUUAGGUCAUAUAUCAUUAUUAGUUUUUUUUUUCCACAUUUGGUUGUUUCAAUUUAACAUCUUUUUAGGUCAUAUAUCAUUAUUAGUUUUUUUUUCCACACAGGUUCACUUGGCCUCACCUCAAGUAUUCAUCUUUUAAGAUCCCAACAUAUAACCUAUAUAUCAUUAAAAAGUACAUUUUUUUGGUGAUCUUAUUCAAUGUAAAUCAUGGACUCUUUUAUAUUAUUUCUGUAACGGAAUGUUGUAAUAUAUACUAUUGAGAUAUGUCUAAGUUAUGGGAGUCGUGGCUCAGAUCAUUCAGAAUGGUAUACAUAAGAGCCAUGAAAUAGUGUUUAUAUUGAAACACAAUUUAAUGAGUCGUAUGGAACAACAAAGAAAGAGAUAUCUGAAAAUAUGUAUUGUGUACAUAUCGUAGUAUAUAAAACAAAAAGUGAAAAUAGUAAUACAUGCAUUCGGUUUCAAAUAUUGAUUGAAGGUCGACUUGAUCAAAGAAACUUAUUUACAAUCUCAAACAUGUGAAUGGUAUCAUUAAUAGAACUACCAAGAAAUUCUCAUCACAAGACACAAAUAAGUCAGAAAUGGCACUAGAGACAUGGAAGACCAUUACACUCUAAGAGCUCCCAAAGUUGUAACUUCCCAUCUUUGGAUUGCAUAGCUAGAAAUUGAUCAGACUUUCCAAUUUAAGCCAAACAUGUCACUCCAUACUGCCCACAAUAUCAAAACUUGUUAAAGUAUCAAUUUAUGAUUAAUUAAGAAAUUUAAAUGAUUUCAUAGAAAAUGACACUUGCAAUACCCUAUGUUCGUAAACAUUGUCUUAUUAUGUUUUAGAUCCAAAAUAAGAACAUUAUGAUCCAAGCUUCCUAUUGUAGCAACUUGUUGCUGAAAAAUGGAAUUUAAGCACAACAUUAAGUCAAGUUACAAAUGCAUGUGUGUGAAAAAUAUAUAUAUUAUUUUAUAAGUAAAUAGGUAUUAAGAGGGGUUUUUGAAUUCAUAUACUCUCACCCAAUCUGAAUUAGGAAUAAAAUUUUCAACUAAUUAUUCUUUAAACCUAAAUUACUGUCAACCAAACAAACACACAGUAAAGUAAUCGAAAAAACACACAAUAAAAAUAAAUAAUAAAAGGAGAAUGGUGAAUAACUUUAAUCGUUAUCAACUUAUUAAAAAAAAACUUUCAUUCGCCCAUCAUUGUCUCCCUGAAGUUUGCUAAAAAAAUAAAAUAAUAAAAUAAAAUAAGUUUCAAAAUUAUAACACAUUGCAAAAUAACUUUUAACUAUAUUGAAAUUUCACAUUAAGAGUUUAUAUUAAAUACAUUGUUCAUUAAUUUAUCUUUUAUUUUUCAAAAGGACCACUUAUAACUUAAAUGUAUAACAAGUUAACAAUUAAAACUUACCAGUUGUUGCUAACGGUAGAGAAAACGGCACAACAACAGGCAGUGGGCUAUCCAAUUGGAGAAGAAGCACUAGACGUGAAAGGGUGCUCUGAGAUUAGAGAUGACAAAAUUCUUCAUGGGUUUGGGGCCCCAUGGGAGUCCACCCAAAAUGAGGUGGAUUUUGAAUAAUUUUGGGGAAUGGGGAAACAAUAACCCCAAAUUCUUAGCGGGGUGGGUUUAGUUUUAUACUUCCCACCCUACUGCUACCAAAUCUCCAUUAUAUACAAAUAUUUUUUCAAUUUUUGUUUAAUAAUUUUUAUUUUAUUAAUAACAAUGUUGGUUAAUAAUUUUUUUUUAUUUUUACCUAAUAUAAAUGGGUUAUAACUAAAAAAAAAUCAUCCAAUAUAAUUCUUAUUCAACGAUAAAAUAUUAUUACAUUUCUUUUCUCUCUUUAUGUGCUUUUCUCUUCAAUCAUUUUUCAGUUUUCGUAUCAUUUUUAAGAUAUUAUUUCAAAAUUUUAGAGAUUUUUUAAAAUAUUUUAUAUAUAUGGUGAUAAUUUAUUUAAGUUUUUAAUUUUUAAUUUAUUGAAAUUAUAUAUCUAUACAUACUAUAAAAUAAGUAAAUGAGAAAUGGGACAGGAAUAGAAAAAUCAUUCCCCAUGCAGAGAUUCUCCAUCCCCACCCCACUAAAAUUUUUGAGAAUGAUGUGAGGAAGAAGACGAAAUUUUUAAUGAGAUGGAAAAUAAGGUAAGACUCUCCACUCCCAUCACACCCCAUUUCCAUCCCUAUUUGAGUUUUCCAUAAGACCUCCCUUCUCUCUCCGUUAGCUAAAUUAAUGAUUCAUUAUUAAAGUAGAUAGCAAUAGUUUGUCGCGUUUGCUUUCUAUUUAUUUAUUGUUAAUUCUAAUUUUAAAAUAAUUCGAUGCCAUAAAAAAAGAUUAAAUUAAAAGAAAAACAAUUUUUUUACAAAUAAAUAAUGCUCCAUAUUAAUUACAUAUUAAUUGGUUGAAUUAAAAGAAAAAUUAAAUUAUUUAUAAUUUUAAUUUAUUAAAUAUAUUUAAUUAUGUUAAUUUAUAUAAGAAGUAUUUGUUCGUUUAAAAGUAUUCUUAGUUUAUCUUAAAAGAAAAAAGAGUAUUUUUAAUUUUAUAAUUAGAAAAAAAAAGUAUUCUCAAUUUUAUAAUUGAAGAAUUGUCAGAACCGAUCCGCAGCACAAUGGUCAGUCUUUUUCCAACCCGGUCGAGGAACCUAUUUCCCUCAAACUACUUUUUUUUAUUUUUCGAUACAUCCCUCAAACCUAGUUGAAUGAACCUACUUGAAAGGAAAUGAAAAUUUCCCCACAAAGAUCAUUUUACUUAAUAACUCACAAAUCACUUCUAUGUCAUUUUAUAUCACAUUUGCGUAACUGUUUGUGCAUUCCAAUAUGUUAUAACAGAUUUGUGAUGUAUUAUGGAAUCCAAAUUCUUGACAAUUCUGGUGAAAGAUAUACGUGCCUCAUUGCCCAAGAAAUAAAUUAGAAGCCAAAACGUUAUGAAAAAAUUAAACAAUAAAUUAACAGACAAUGAUCAUCAUUAACAAACCCAAUUGUCAACAUUACAUCUAUUAGUUCACCAACAAAUUUGGACAAAAAAAAAAAAAAAAGACAUCAAAUUAACUCCGUUACAACAUCAUAAUUUUUAAUUUAUCAUCCAACUAACACAUAAAUCGCAUAUAUAAUCCCCGGUAUGUAGCCCAAUACUGUCAGCAACAAACAUAUCCAGAACUCCACCUGCAAUUCAAUAUCAUUCACAACUAAAGCAAUCAAAUUAAAAUAAACACACCAUUGCAACACUUAUGACAUAUUUCAUUACAAUUUCUAUUCUUUGUGUUAGAAGUUAUGCAUAUAUCAAUAAAUAAUGAGUUUAGUAUUAUAGCAAAAGUAUUAAAUUAAAAAAAAAAAAUUACCCCACAGCCAUAACGUAGGAAGACACCAACAGGAGGAAGCAGAAUGGCCAGAAUCACUUCCAGGAAAGUCUCGGAACCCAUUCACAAGAAGAAGAAGAAGCAGCAGCAGCCGAUGAUGAUAACUGAUGAAAAAUUAGAAGUGCUUCUAAAUUAAGCAGUGAUGGACGUGCAUUUAUUUAGUUUUAGUUUUUCACUUUUAAACGGAAACUUGUGCAGAUAACGAGAUUUCAAGACUUGGACAUCAUUAGAAUCGUUCAAUGUUCGUGCGUAUGUGUCAUAGUGUCAGAGUUCUAGGUAGCCACGUGGGUUAGUUUCGGACACGUGUCAGGUUGUACCUAUUCUGCCGUGUUUUUGUUUUGACUUGUAUGGGUGAUUAAGGAUUUGAUCCAAAACAAUUGUCCAUACUCGCCGCCCAUAGGCUCACCAUAAGAUUUACUAGAGUGGGGGCCCCGUGUGGAUUCUGGAAUCGUUGUUGAUAUUGUUGUUACCAAAAUUAUUACUAUUUUCUGAUUUUAGUAAUUAAAAUUUGAUUUUUUCCGAACAAAUUAAUGAUGCAGCUACAAAAAUAAUACUAAUAAACUGUAUGUAUUUUAUUAGUAAAGAAACAAAUUUUUCUUUCGUCGGCUACCUCAAGCGUACACCAACAAACACGUUUAGUCCAAGUUAUCAAACAACAAGAAGAACUGGUUCCAACGGUGCCCAGUAUACAUACAUGGAAACAAAUAAUGAUAGUAAACUGCAAACAAAAUUGUCCAAAAACCAGGUUAAGACGCUCGAUGGGCGAAGGCCUAAUGAUCAAUGAUCAUCAAGGCUGAUAAACUUCAGGAAGUUGAAGGCCAACACUUGCAGCAGAUUUCCCCAGUAUUCUUUUCAUUUCAUCGGAUCUAUCUACAGCAAUAUUGUACGAGAACAAUAAGUCCUGCAUUCGUCACAGUAUCAGUAUAACACACGAUGGAAUAGUUCAUUGCAGUAUAAGAUCUUCCAUUACCCCCAUUUAACUACCCUUGUAGACAACAAGACAAACUAGACAAGCAAAAUCCACUAGGUAGCAUUCAAAUUCUGCUCAAACCAAGAUUGUUAGUGGGUUAGUUUUCAUUCAUACAAGACUUUUAAGAAAAAUAAAUUUCACAGGCAUAUACCAUUAUAAUUCCUUAACCAUUAUUAUUUUACCCAUCAGCAAUACUUGCUAUUGUAAUGCGAUUGAGCUAUAAACCAUACAAUAUUCCUCUAGCAUGGCGAAACAGAAUUUUGUAAGUAGGUAUUCAACUAGUCAAUGUUGAGUAGUAUGAGUUGAUCAAUAUUAAAUGCAACUCUUGGUGAAAAGAAUCUGUUUAUGUAUGGUAUGAGAGAUCGUACAAAUCAAAUUUAAGUUGAAAAUAUGGAAAGCCUUUAUCAUGCAAAGAAGAAAACAAAUUAUAUAAUAAAAUCGAUGGAUAAGAGAGAGUCAUGCCUUGUGAUGAUGCACACUGUUAAGAAGAAAAGUAUAAUCAUGGGCUAGCUUGAUCUUCUGUCGUAUAGAAGAAGGAUCGGAUAGUUUGCUGUUCUUCCGAAACUCUUGCAUUACAUAUUCCAUGAAAUGCAUCUUGUAAUCUUCUUUGCCAAUAUGGUUCUUGACAGCUUUUAGGAGUUGGCGAUACACCUUAGCAGCUUGCAUAAUUUCAGAACUCAUUUCCAAAAUUCUUCUCUAUAUAUCACUAUACUUGUAUAUUUUCCCUAUGGCCCUGACACACAAACACGAUCCAUCAAGCUUUGCGAAAUGAACAAAAAGAUCAUAAAAUUGCACAUUUGAGCUAGUUGAUACAUACAACAAACGUUUCUAAAGAGUUUAAAUGAAAUGUAUUUUCUAAGAGGGAAUGAAGACCUGAGUGAGAAGUUUAUUGAGAUAAAAACAAUGAAUUAGGGCUAUCAUAGUCAAAAGCUCCUUCUUUCAGUUCAAACUACAAAAUUUGAAGACUGAUACUGAAGUUUGCCAACUCUUUCUUUAAUUGGAACUAAUACACCAUAAUUAGUGGUCAUUCUUUAUUCUAUCAGGCAUUCCAUCAAACACUUGAAGUCCAAUGAUAAGUGUUACUUAAUGAACUUUCAGUGAUAGAAUUCGAUUCCACGACUACAGCUAAAUAACCAUAAUGCUCACGUCAACAAGAAACAUAUUUGCUUUAAACUAAUAAAACAUGGAAUUAAAUGAAUACCCAGAUUUCUUUUUCGAAGUUCUUCUUUCACAAUGAAGAAAAAUAUUUGAAGAGAAGCCAAGUAAAUGUUAAUUAGAGGAUGAAAAUGAAAAUUUUCAACUGCCAUAAGUUUAAUUUAAGGAACCCAUUUGAGUUAUUGGAAGAAAAAUCUAAAAAUUGAGAGAAGAAGCGCACCUGUGGGAGUGUGAGCAAAUCCAAACAAGCAAGACACAAACAGAACAGAGGAUCAAUUCCAAGGUUUCGAAGUGAUGAAAUGGAAAAUUAUUAUUUAGUCCCUCGGCGUCUUAUAUUUUAUUAUCGAAGUGUAUGAACUAAUUUACCUUUUUACUAAUAAGUCAUCUUUUUUGUCCUACAACUUAUUCACAACUAUGGAUGGCAAAAUCCGGAUUCGGAUCCCGAUAUAGGUGUAUCCGGAUCCGGAUUGACAUUUUUAUAUCCGGAUCUGUAUUCGUAUCCGUAAUUUUUUGUGAAUCCGGAUGCGGGUAAUAUUGGCACGGAUUGUGGGCGGAUAUUUUGGAUAUUCGGAUCCGCAAAAAUUAAAAUUUAACAAUUAAAAAUGAGAUUACGCAUUUAUAAUUUUACAUUAUAUUGAAAAUUAAUGCAUUUAGUCAAAGUAAUUAAACCAAAACCAUAAAUUCAUUCUAUCUAUUUGUUAACAAAUUCACCAAUUAAUCAGUCAAAAUUUUGCAAGUCAUUGUUGAGAUUUGGAGAAUGAAAGAGGGAAAAGCAACAGCAUGCAAACGGCAGCCACUUAUCUUUGUUCAAAUUCGCCAAUGUUAGAUCCAAAUGCGUCUUGGGACAAGGAUCAAUUGGGAGAUGUGUUGCAUUAGAUUUGACAAGUGGUGGCUCUUGCUCGGAUUUUGUAUGGUUCCCAAGAAAAAAAAAACAAAAUACUAAUUACAGAAAUUGAAAUAAUUUGCAAAGUCAAGAAAGAUUACAAAAAUGCAGCCGGGUGCGGUGAGCUUAGCAAGCCAGAGAUGCAAAGACGUGCCCGCGUUUGGUGACAGCAAAGUGCGAUCAGCGAGGCAAGGCUGGGCAGCCGGUGUUCGACGACAGAAACGCGUGCCCAGCUCGAAGACGCAGCCACGUUCGACGAUAGCAACGGGUGCCCAGCUUGGCGACGCAGCCGGCGUUCGAUAACAGCGACCCUGAGGCAGAUGGCGUUCGACGGUUAUGGAUUUUGCUUGUUUCCAAUUUCGACUGCAGCAGUAGUGAUGAAGUCGUGAGUGUAUGUGAUUCCAGUUUUAGCUUUUAGGGUUGAUAGGAUUAGAUUUGUGGUUUUUUUCUCCAAUUUUAGUUUAUAUAUUUUUCAAUUGAACUUUAUUAAAUUAAUAAUUUAAUUAAGAAUAAGCCGAAUCCGGAUAUCCGGCUUUCCGGAUGCAUGCACAUCCGGAUCCGGAUUCGGAUCAGUGCGGAUCUUAAAUUUUUAACUCCGGAUCCGCAUUUUUUAACAUACCAAUCCGGAUUUUGACGGAUCCUUGCGGAUGCGGGCCGGAUCCGGAUCAUUAUGCCAUCCCUAUUCACAACAGCUUCUGUCUACUAACGGAUAAAAUUAAGGAUAAAAUAAAAUUUAGGAUGAACUUUGCACAAUUUUUUUUGUUUUUAAGAGAGUAUUUGGA
rnacentral:lncRNA from 1 species